rnacentral:lncRNA from 1 species
CUGGCUAGCUCUCACCACUGGUAUCACACGUAUCGCAAUAUUCUUAUGGAAAACAUAACGUUUUAUUGUUCACGCACAGUGCUGCCAUGCAUUCUUGUUCCCACAAUAUUUGCAAACUUUAAUCACUUCAUAGUCAACACGACAUUUACAUAAUCCAUAAUAAUAUGUACUAUCAUAAUGGCCAACAUUAUAAUCUGAUUCUAUAGAGCUAUCUGCUGAAUCAUAAUCUUCUUCUUUAGGAUUAUAUUCUUCUGUAUCACUAUCUUCUUCGGCACCGCUACCCUUGUCUUCCUUUUCCUGCAGCACCGAAGCGGAGCCCUCAUUGGAUCCAUCAUUUAUAAUUCAGAACUCCUUGUCCCGCCAUGUACUGUUCCCAGUAGCGUGCUCGUCGAAUUCUUCCUUUCGGUGGUGCUUCGUCUGUUGUUCACCCUCCACGCUCGACCGGACGGUCCAAAGUAGGGUUCUGGUCCUCGUCGUCGGUCAUGGUUUUGCGUCUGAGAGAGAGGGAGUCGAUCAGUUGUGUUUAGGUUAGCUAGCCGUGUGCCUUUUUUUCUUUUUAGAGAUUCAUAACAAACGAAGUUGCUGUAUGGAAAUGGAGUGGCAUAUUAUGGCCCAUUUGGGCUUUGCCCUCGGACUUUGGAUUCCUUUCUUAGUUAGGCGCUGUCAACAUUUGGGCAUAGCUGUAUUUGGGUAUAUGUAUGCAAUUAUUUCAGGAAAAAAGAUCGAUAUAGUUAGAAGUUCGUCACAAUAUGCACACAUAUUGGCACUAUUUGUCUUUGUUAUAUAUAUCUUCUUGUUUUCUUUCCGAUGUGUCUGAACAUUGUUAUCGUUUCUUGGUCAUUCAUACUGCACCAUUGUUUCUCUUGGAUCUAGAAAACGCAUCAUCCCUUUGGAACCUCACUUCAAGAGAGACUGUCAUAAUUUGAUUAGCAGAAGUUGUGACCUAUUCGUUAGAUUUAAACAAAAAAAAAGGAAGUGAACAGGGUCCUCGAACCCGUGGCCUCCUAGUAUAAGGUGGUGACAACUUCCUUACUGGAACUGAAUGAACAUAACUCAAGUGGGAGGUACAAGAUACUAGAGCUCUGGAAUUUAAAAGUAGGAAGGAAAGCAACUCUUGCUGAAGGAGUUGCUUACAUCUUGAAGCUAUGGAAUGCGGUUAAGUAUACAAAGAGGCGAAGAAACUAAGAAGUAAGGCAUGUGGCAUGGGUUUUGAUUUUACUAGGGUAAUAUAUGCAGUAUCAACUUAGAGAGAUUAUCCAUUUCGGAUUCUUUCAAGUUUCUAGUCUAAAUAUAGUGAAGUAUCGGAUGAUGAUGAGAUGUCUUGGAAUGUACAGUAAGCUAUAUAUGUUUCCAUAUAUCAGUUACAUGCAUAAAUCAGUGUUUAAGAAGCUAAUUUCAAUGAAGUGCUGGUUGCGAGAAUGUUUUGGGAUGUGCACUAAGCUAUAUCUUACUUCAGCACAUAUUUGCAUCACAUCAGUUAAAUCCACCAGACAGACCAUUGUUCACCAUUCUGAAAGUAUGUCAUAGCCUUAUAGCUGGUUUUAGGUACUUCAUUGGCUGCACUUGUAAUUUCUGGACUUAAGCUGAGGUAUUGUGGCCAUAUUUCUGGUUUUUCAGGUAUGCCAUAGUCCUAUUGAGGUAGAGCUAUGACUAUACCAGCAAUAGGAUUUGCAUGUGCAGCCAAUGACUUCUAUAUCUUAACAGAGUUGUGAAUAAUGGAUUCAAGGCCAGUAGUGUAAUUACUGGAACACCUGCAGGUAGCAUCAGUCUUGAUGUGCAGGCAAGACCUAUUGCAAGGGAAAGGACAGAGCAACGUGUGGAUAUAUGUCUACCUGGUUAUGUGGGGGGAUGGGGAAGUAGACCCCAGAUGUUGCAUCGAGCAACCAACGACUCAUUACAGCCCAAGUACCUCAAAGGAGUAUACCUAUUCUUCUCUGUCUCUGUCUCUCUCUUUUUUGGUAAAUGAAUGAAUAUAUAGAAGAACCCAGGCUUCCAACAAGCCAAUAAAAUAAAAUAGUUGGCCUUUUACAGUCAAGUCUGCAUACUGGAUAGCUAGAAACAUGGUAAUACCAAAUGCUCUUGCUUCUUCUUCUGCAGGUAAUAAUUUACCUCUUCGGGAAAAGCUGUAGAAUGCUAAAGUCCCUGGCAGGAUUCAAAUUUGUGUGUGGCGAGCCUGCAACAACCUGCUGCCUACUAGAGCUAACUCAGCUAAGCUAGUACUAAAGGAUAUUCUGGUCCAUUACGUGCUUAUUUUGCCCUCAUCCUCAAUAAUCUAUUGAGCAUACAAUGUGUGUACGUGUGUGACUGCUCCAUCAGCAAAACCAUAACAUUGUUCAAUGGGGAAGCCAACGAAUACCUAUUCUCAAUGGGGAAGCGACAAGGGUGGACAAUAACAUUGUUCAUAAAAUGAGGUGAGUUUCGAAAGAGAGACUAGUUUACCGUAGAAGAAGAGCAAACGGGAAAGAAAAAAAAAAAAUUAAAAUAGAUAACAAAAAUAAAAGUAUAGAUACCGACCAAAAAAAUAAAGGAAAGAGUGAUAGAAAUUUUCGACCGUUGAAAAAAUAUGCUGCUGUGCUUCUCAUAUAUUUCCCCGUAAGCCAACAGGGUCCCAAAUGCCGACAUACAUUCAGGGUCGAGUUUUCUGAAAUUGGCUCAUUUUCGCAGAACUGAAUCCCCUGUACACGUCGAUUCAUCUCUCAAGCUCUGGUUUGUUUCUGGUCGUUGCUGUGCUGCCUGUGCAGGCAUCCCACGGUUAAUUUCUAAGAAGAUUAUGAGAAAUGUCGAUCGAGGUGUGAGAGAAGAUUAAACGACCAGAAUUUGUUGCUGAUCCGUUGAGUUUGAUAAUUUAUUCUCUAAUUUGUUAAUGUAUAUCUCUUCUGAUCCACGUACCUAUAUAUCCCAAAUUUCUGUUCAUCUUCUUCGAUGGUCUUCAAAGUCAAAUAACAUUUGAUUACAGAGCCAUUUCAGAUUUUAGAUUAAACUCGUAAUAUGAAAGCACAUACAACUGAUACAAGAAAGAAACCUCCGUGAAGUUAGACUAUAAUCAGCCAAAGUUUCUUUUCGUUUUCCAGAAAGAUUUAGGAGGAGCAAUCCCAGAAGCAAUCACGUAUCAUUCAAAGUAAACCACAAAACUCGUUGGUAGGAAAGGUUGGUUCAAUUCCAUAAUAAACUCUUCAUAGAACGAAACUAAUUGGCAAUAGUGUUGCUUUGACGUCAUUAGGGUUACAUGUUUCAAUACCCCAAUUCUCAACAAUAAGUUCUUGUAAACUACACAAAUGAAGUUGCUAUCGUAGUUCAUGUUUACUUAGAUUUAUUUUUUCAUGCUGAGAGAUAUGAUUUCAGAAAUUACUGAAGGAAUUAUUUUUGAAUUAAUGUUCACUUAUCAAUUAAGUUGAUCCGUUCAUGGUAAGGUUCUCCCUAAUCUCCCUUCAAUUUCCCAGCCCCAAAAUUAUACAAGCAACUCACACCCUCAACCUGUAUAUAUAGAUAUAGGCAUGUGUGACCUGGGUAUAAACCACAAGUUAUAAGAUAUUCUUCACGUAUACAGAAAAUAAAUCACAAAGCAAUUCAUCAUGUCUCAGCCAAAUGCUCAAGCCUGUCUAGCCAAAGGUGGAUCAAAUUCAAAUCCACCAGUUAGUCGGCCUCCGGCGACUCAGCCAAAUGCUCAAGCCUGUCUAGCCAAAAACAGAGGGAGAUAAUUAAGCGCAUACAAAGUGCUGUGCGCAACAGAACUUUAAGCUACUUGUUUGUGUUUCUGUGUCAUAUGUUGCUCAUACAUAUAUAGUAAAUAAGGGGUUCAUUUCAUACCAUCUUUCCUCUGGUAUUCUCUUCGUUCCAAAUAAUUUACCAUUUCUAUCUCAGUCUCCAUUCGGCCAUCGACCUCCGAAAGAAAUUACCAAAAGGUGAAGGUAGUUAGCAAAUGGGCCACAUAUAUAGUAGAAUUAUUAUACAAUUGUUUCUAUUCAUUGUAGAAAUUGAUGUACUCUAUUGAAUUUAAUUUUUGUUUCAGUUGUACUAUGAUAUAAGAAUAAUACUUGUAAUAUAUUAUUUGAUUUUGUUUAUAUAUGACAGAUUAAUCUUCAAUUGUGGAUUUUUAAAUUGUGCUCUUGUUCUUCAAUUUUCUAACUAACAAUUAAAACGUUGAUAUGCACUAUUGCAUGAUUUGCCUCUCCCUAGAUAAACCAUGAACCAUAACAGUUAUAUCUUCCAAGCUAAUUACAUGCCGACUUAAAAGAUCACCGGCCAAUUAAGCAUUACAAUAGCUACCGGAAGAACCAGUACAAGAAAAUAGAGAAUAUAUGCUCAGUUGGCUAAAAUGGAAGAUAUAGUUAGUUUGAACCUUUGUAUGAUUAAGAACAUUUCCAAUUUAUCCAUCAAUUUUUUGUUCUUAUUACUAACUAAAUACUCUUUGGGUUCGUUUGACAUGCAUGGAGACGAUCCCCGAUCUGGUUUUACUUUUGGCAAUGAGUUUUGAUGCACAACCUUUCUUGCAAUUAGAUAGAUUCAAAAGGGAUGAACCUGGUGAUAUUGAUUCUUGUUCAUCAUAUAUCACUGAUUAACAUGAUGAACUUUAAGUGGAUGGAGGUGUAUCUUUGAUAGCGGUAACAUAGUCCACAGUGUACUCUGUAGUACUAAUAUUAUGCAUACAUGCAACAAACCCUAACACAAGGCCGUUCGGAGACUUUCUCCAUCGGGUUGAGUUGAAAGACGCUCCAAUGUGGGAGCAAGAUAAAGAAACUGAAGACUAUUUCUGACGUACGGUAUAGCGAUCCACCACAUCGGGUAGUUUAUGACGGCCGGGCUAGCUUGCGUAAACAGCACUCAACCACCGUCUCUGAAAUAUUUCCCGAAAACACGUUUAACAAAAAACUACCAAACACCCUCAGAAAUCAUCAAAGAAACGACGCAUGAUAGGAGUUCGAUCUUGGUCUCAAGAGUUGGCCGACUAAAAAAUAAAACAAAAAGAAAACAAUGAAUUAAUUCGGACACGAAAUCCGACCAGAUCGAGAUAUAAAACAAAGCAAAAGCUACGUUUAUCAUCAGUAGGUGGCAAAUGAAAAAUGGGUCUCAGAAUUGAUCGUCAAACUUUCCGGUUUAAUUAACGCGGUUUAGAAUUUAACCAAUCGAGUGAAGUUAUCCAAGUUCCAGUAGUGAACUGCAUAGCAAUUUCUUCCGGCCAGAGAUACACCAGUAGGUGGCAAUCAAAACUGAGCUUCAGACGUGUCAAACCUUGCGAUUUAAACGCGGUUACUGAUUGAUCCGCUUGAAGUCAAGUUUAUACGAAACUUCCACUGAACCUCUUAGCAAUUGCUUCCAGAACUACAAUAGAUGUAGAUUAUCCAGAGUUGGAUUUGUUUCUGGGUUUGUAAAUGGUCAAGUAGCUAGAUAAAACGCGCUGUAUCCUCGUUGGCUGGUCGCUCAUUAUCAUCUUAUCAGUCGAUCGGCUGCUGGCUAGCUCUCACCACUGGUAUCACACGUAUCGCAAUAUUCUUAUGAAAAUUUUCUCUAUGGAAAAUAACGUUUUAUUCUUCACGCACAGUGCUUCCAUGCAUUCUUGUUACCACAACAUUUGCAGACUUCAAUCACUUCAUUGUCAACACAACAUUUACAGAAUCUAUUAUGUGUACCAUCGUAACGACCAACAUUAUAAUCUGAUUCUAUAGAGCUAUCUGCUGAAUAAUAAUCUUCUUCUUUAAGGCUAUCUUCUUCUGUAUCACUAUCUUCUUCGGCACAGCUACCCUUAUCUUCCUUUUGCUACAGCACCAAAGCUGAGCCAUCAUUGGAUCCAUCAUCUACCAUUGAGGCCCCCUUGUCCCAGCGCGCCUUGUUCUGUUCCCAGUAGCGUGCUCGUCGAAUUCUUCCUUUCGGCGCUUCGUCUGUUGUUCACCCUCCACGCUCGGCCGGACGGUCCAAAGUAGGAUUCUGGUUCUCGUCGUCGGUCAGUUGUGUUUAGGUUAGCUAGCCGUGUGCCUUUUUUUCUUUCAGAGAUUCAUAACAAACUAACGAAGUUGCUGUAUGGAAAUGGAGUGACAUAUUAUGGCCCAUUUGGGCUUUGCCCUCGGACUUUGGAUUCCUUUCUUAGUUAGGCCCUGUCAACAUUUGGGCAUAGCUGUAUUUGGGUACAUGUAUGCAAUUAUUUCAGGAAAAAGAUAUAGUUAGAAGUUCGUCACAAUAUGUACACAUAUUGGCACUAUUUGUCUUUGUUAUAUAUAUAUAUAUAUAUAUACAGCCCCCUUCUAUUGAGGGAUCCCUAUUUUUGGCCACUUUCUAGGGAUAGGGCAUUACACCACUUCCCAAUUGAAUUUUUACAUCUCCACCGUUCAUAUCUUAGGUCUAUAUGAGUAGAUCACCUCUACAAAAUUUCAUAUGAUUUGGUGAUCGUUAAGACUUUCAAAAGUUUGAUUUAGUUUUAAUGAUUUUGAACGGUCCAGCUUAUGUCAAACUAAAACCGUUGAAGGUCAUUAAAACUAAAUUGAACUUUUGAAAGCCUUAACGAUNN